UUUCUACUCCCUCCGUCCGAAAAUACUUGUCAUCAAAAUGGAUAAAAAGAGAUGUAUCUAAAACUAAAAUACGUCUAGAUACAUUUCCUUUUAUCCAUUUUGAUGACAAGUAUUUUCGGACGGAGGGUGUAUUUG
rnacentral:pre_miRNA from 1 species